rnacentral:tRNA from 1 species
GGCCUGUUAGCUCAGCUGGUUAGAGCGUGGUGCUAAUAACGCCAAGGUUGUGGGUUCGAUCCCCACAUGGGCCA